CUGAGUUGCAAAACUCCCAAACCCAUGCGUACCUUACCUAUGUCGUUGCUUCGGCGGCGCCGCCCGGGGCUGCUGAGGCAGCCCGGGGCGACCGCCGGAGGCCCAACAAACUCUCUGUAUCACUGUGGACUCUCUGAGAAAACAUACAAAUAAUCA
rnacentral:misc_RNA from 1 species